UCGGUCAAGUGGUGGGUUGCACCUCGG
rnacentral:piRNA from 1 species